rnacentral:lncRNA from 1 species
GUAUAGCUUUGAUUAUGUUGAACUCUUUACUUUGAUAUUUCUUUAUUUCAUGAAAGUAUGAAAAUAAGGUUUGUCUGAUGAUAUCAUAGUUGUGGUUACAUUUUUGGACCACAUAUUUGGUAUGAUCAUCAGUUUUUCCCAUAAGUCUAAUACUGUAUGGAAGAAACAUUGGGUUUUAUUCAUAGGUUCAAUUGUGACUUUUUCAUCCAUCUGGGUAAAUUUACAAUAAUGUCUAUUUUAAAAAAACAGCAAAAAGUAAUUGAAGAAAGACAUUAAUCAUUGAGAUAUCUGCCAACUUUUCUCUCCAAAAAAUUCACUUAUACAAGUAUUUUUAAACAAUCCCAUAUAUUCUCAAAAAAAAAAAAAAAAAAAAAAAUAAAUGUCUCAAUUUUUUUUCUGGUUUGGCGUAAUUUUUGUGUCAAGGAAAUUAAUUUAAAAAUUAGAAGGAACUGUUUGCUAGUGAUGACUGUAAAACGUGACUAACACCAUUUUGCAUUGCCGUUAAAACCUAGACCUACGUAUGUUGUUUUGCCUGUACCUUCUAGAAGUGUUCCAAAUCAAGUUUUUGAUUUUCAAGCUACAAAAAUAUCUGUAAUUGAUAUUUGAAUCUUGCAAUUAAUAAAUAUAGGAAAUGUAUCAUGUUUUAAUGAUAAACAAAUAUGUGAUUUCGAUAUUUUGAUAAUAUAAUGAUAGAAUUGAUGUAGAAAAAUAUAUAUAAUACUUUUUAUGUGACAAAGACUGGUUUUGUGAUCGUGAUUUUUAAAACUGAUUUUAUGCAAAUUUUUAUGUUGUCUUCUUAAAAUAGAAUUCAUAUUCUUAAUGCAUGAAUUUGUAUAAUAAUAUUUUCUUCAGUAUUUAUUUAUUGUAAUAUCAUCUGUGACAA